rnacentral:rRNA from 1 species
GAUGAACGCUGGCGGCGUGCUUAACACAUGCAAGUCGAACGGUGAAGGCGGAGCUUGCUCUGCUGGAUCAGUGGCGAACGGGUGAGUAACACGUGAGCAAUCUGCCCCUGACUCUGGGAUAAGCGCUGGAAACGGCGUCUAAUACUGGAUACGAGCUGCGAAGGCAUCUUCAGCAGCUGGAAAGAACUUCGGUCAGGGAUGAGCUCGCGGCCUAUCAGCUUGUUGGUGAGGUAACGGCUCACCAAGGCGUCGACGGGUAGCCGGCCUGAGAGGGUGACCGGCCACACUGGGACUGAGACACGGCCCAGACUGCUACGGGAGGCAGCAGUGGGGAAUAUUGCACAAUGGGCGAAAGCCUGAUGCAGCAACGCCGCGUGAGGGAAGACGGCCUUCGGGUUGUAAACAUCUUUUAGCAGGGAAGCAGCGAAAGUGACGGUACCUGAAGAAAAAGCGCCGGCUAACUACGUG